rnacentral:rRNA from 1 species
CCUACGGGUGGCAGCAGUGGGGGAUAUUGCACAAUGGGGGAAACCCUGAUGCAGCGACGCCGCGUGGGGGAAGACGGUCCUCUGGAUUGUAAACCACUGUCCCCAGGGACGAAGAUGACGGUACCUGGGGAGGAAGCUCCGGCUAACUACGUGCCAGCAGCCGCGGUAAUACGCAGGGAGCGAGCGGUGUCCGGAAUUACUGGGUGUAACGGGAGCGUAGGUGGGGAUGAAAGUUGGGUGUCAAAACUACCGGCUCAACUGGUAGUCGCACUCGAAACUGCAGCUCUUGAGUGACGGAGAGGCAGGCGGAAUUCCUGGUGUAGCGGUGAAAUGCGUAGAUAUUAGGAGGAACACCAGUGGCGAAGGCGGCCUGCUGGGCUUUUACUGACGCUGAGGCUCGAAAGUGUGGGGAGCAAACAGGAUUAGAUACCCGGGUAGUC